CUGCGAUGGCUCUCAGGAUCCCUGCUCCUUGUGGGGCACACCUCCUCCCAGACGAGUGAUCAAACAGGAAGGUCUGGGGGAAGCUGGCCACAAUAUUUUAAGGACAUUGCAGCAGCCCCUGCACCCCCUGCUGGAGAGACCUUCAUGGGAAGAAUGGAAACCUCCUGCUAACCACCAGCAUGAGCCAUGUUGGAAGUGAAUCCUCCUGACCCAGUGAGAUGAACCUUGAUUGAUGUUGUUUCUCAGUUUUGAAGUCUAAAAUAAAAUAGAAAUGGCCCAAAGGAAA
rnacentral:lncRNA from 1 species